CUGUAGGCGAUACACUUGCAUCAAGAGUGGCUGCUUCACAGCUUUCAUGUUUUGGCUGCCCUGAACUAAUCGCUAAAAGUUGGCAAGAUUAUGAGAAUAUUGCUAUGAAACUGCGAACUGAUGUGGAAUACCUGAAAAAGAUCCACGCUAAAGUCUGGAAGCAAAGGAUAUCCAGCCCACUUUUCAACACCAACAAUACACAAUGGAUCUGGAGAGAUUGUAUUUAGAAAUGUGGGAGCAUUUUGCUGCGGGAAACAAACGUGAUCAUCUCAUCAAGCCUGUGGAAAGCACCGAAUCCGCUUAACUCUCUGAUGGCUCCGAAUAUAUCGGCCAAACUCGUUGGAGAGCUUUUUUUUGCUUUUUUUUUUUGCUACAUCCAUCAAAUCUUGCAAGUUGCCAUCCAAAUAUGAUACCAUGGGCAGUUUUACUUGUUCAUAUACAUUUUUAGCCUUGUAUUGCAGUAUAUUUGGAAUUUAAACUUAUUAGUUUGUGUCUGCUAGUUCAUUCGCAGCUUGAAACUCUUCACUAACUGUGCAGGUUAAAUAAUAAAAAAAUUAAAAAAUCGUAAGCAUCA